rfam:Lyngbya sp. PCC 8106 1099428180516, whole genome shotgun sequence.
ACUAAAAAUCUGGAUUAACCAAAGACAGCAGGUGCAAGUCGCUUAAUAUCCUGCCGAGGUUAGAAGAUAUAAAAUUUAAGAUUAAAGAUCAAGCAGAACACUGCUUACAUUUUGAUCGAUUAGAUUUUCAGUCUUCAACCUCGGCCAAUCGAGCCGGGGAUUUUUUAUGGCGAA